rnacentral:lncRNA from 1 species
CGCUGAAGCGCGGCGCAGCUGGCGCUCGUGUUUCAAUACAUUGCGCUUCAUAUUUAUACACAAGGCGGCCUGUGGUUUCACGCGGUUCCAUGGUGUUCUCCCUACAUUUAAAUACUUACAAAUUGUGCUGGCUAAGUAUUUAAUAACUAUCGUGUGCAUUAAAAAAUUGGCUCUUCAUUAUGCAUGGAAUUGUGUGUACAAAGGCCUUUCUGAGUAACUGUGUACAAAUUUGCAAACUGCUGUCCUUGACUGGGUGGUGGGCCAGCCUCAUGCUUUCUCAUUCUUUCACUGUUGCGUAGCAAUGUGUUAAAAAAGAAGUUUCAAGGAAUUUUAUCAAUUGUGAUGCAUGGCGACACCUUUCGACUUAUCUGUGAGCAUAUUUGGUAUAAUCGUAUUGCAAAGAUUGCGUACACCGGCUUUAUCUAUUUGCAAUGGCAGCUUUCGUACGACAUUUGUGUAUUGUCUUUUCUAUGUUGGUCGCUACUCGUUUGUAUGUAUUUUUAGAGCCCUGACAGGCUGAUGAAGGAUGACUAAAGUCUUCUGAAAGCUAUCAUUACUAAGAAAUGGAGCUGGUGUUAUGAACAGUGAACAGUGUCCCAAAAUUUUAUUUCAGAGUGAAAAAUUGUUCUUGAAAAUUGGAGAUGAAAGUGGAAAAUUGAUUUCAGUUGGAUGUCACUUCCCACCCAAAACUGGCAAAUUUUGGGACAUUGGUUUUGAACAAACUUAACAAUACAAUACCACUGUCCCAGGCUCCAGCUGAAUAACAUCUACAUAUAACAUAAUACUUUGUGUAAGCAUCUUGUACAACUGUGUUGCUGUGAUAAUGAAAUCAAAACACAUGCAUCCUGCAUCCAUGAAAGUGGAUAGACAAGACAUGCACUACUACAUAUGCUGUGCCUGGCUCAAGAUUCCUAUAUGUAGCAAGGUUGCCCUACCGACACUGGCAAAAUGAAUGCUUCCUUGAACAAAGCUAACCAAAGGUGCCAUCAACUGUCUUAAUCUGAACAGGAAGGAAGCCUAGUUUUCAACAUAGACAAUGUGACUUUCAGGGUGUGCACCACCCGGUGUUCAUUUGUUAACAUCAAUAAUGUGUGACCACGAAAGGAAACCCUUCUGAAGGUAACAUCUCUCGACCAUUCUAAGAUCCUGUCCACUACCUUAAUAUUAACAGGUCUUUUAAAUAACCAUGCAUUAUUCCUCUGAUAAUGCUUGUUAUGUUUUCAAAUAGGUUCAUGUUCUUUCAUCCUGAUUUUUCAAAGAUAAAUAUCACUUGAGUUUGUUUUUAUUGCAAGUGUGAUGCAUGUAAUUUCAUCUUCAUGUUUUCUCAGAUCGAAGAUCUUGCUCGCAGCUAUGCCUCAUUGCCUACCAUGGCCAAAACCUCUUUGAGGUUUACUGUAGGUAGUGUUCUCCGUCUGAUUGUUAUGUGUUGAGGAUGAGCUGAAUGUUACUGAUAUUGAUACCUGAUAUCUAAUUGUGGUCAAUGUUAAGUGUAACACCGUGACAUCUUCCAAUGCCAAAGUUUAUUUCCAACGAGCCAAAGCUUGUUUGCAUUGCAAUUACGAGCGGUAGUGUGAUGUGUGGAACGUGUAGUAUGUACGAUUGGGAACCACUUACUCUGGUGGCAUGUUUGCAUAUAUGAGAAUGUUCAGUGUUCAUCGUCUUUAGAUAAUAAAAGCAUUGGCAUAUCA